rnacentral:tRNA from 1 species
AAGGCUUUAAGUUAUCUAAACUUGUAGCCUUCAAAGCUACCAAAAGGAGUAAAACUCUCCUAAGCCUUA